rnacentral:ncRNA from 1 species
GAAUAAGAAUGAUUAGAAUUAUCUUGCUUAAAAGGAAAGUUUCCGGCCCCUUUGGGGGGGGGGCACCCCCCCACGCCCCAGACAGACGGCCGGGUCUUGAUCACCAAAGGCGAAGUGAACCUUCGUCUAGUCUUAUAAUAUAAGGCGAAACUCUCAAAUUGCGGGGAACUCUUAAAGACAAAUCUACCAAGUUAAUAUAGUAAUAUAUUAAUGGAACAGGUAAUGACUCGUUGUAUGGUAAAAACGGUUUGUAUACAUAGAAUAUCCGCAGCCAAGCACCAAGUAUUCUAAGAAAUAUUGGUGUGCAGUUCAUCGACUAAACGGGAGUUGGUUAAUGGCAUAUAUAUACUAAAUAUAUGCUAAUUAGCUUAAGAUAUAGUCAGUCUCGAUACAUGAGUAUUGA